CCAGACUUUCAGCUGCACCACAGCGCUCUCCAAAUUAAAUCAGCACAUCAACAAUCACAUAAUUCGUGGUGCACCGUGAACUCCUCAACCACUGGCACCCGGUCACUCCACUCGAGCUGUCAGGAGACAAAACUGCUGCCCUUACAACACUGUCGACUAACUCUAACCUGCCUCACUCCCUCUGUGAAAACUGGAUGCCUGGGAUGUUCCAGUGGUACUGGAUUCUAUGCCUGGUAGAAGCAACAGCCAUAAAUUAAUUGACCUUGACCUACAGAUCCUACAUCUGGACACUUCAGUGAUGCCCAACAUGUGGAAACUUCAAAUGAUUAUUUUGAGAAGAGCACAAAAGGACACACGGCGGCCGAGCAGGGAAAUGAUUAUUUAAAGCACACUGAAUUCCCAAGAAGAAACAAUAUACAAACUGGAUGUAAACCUUCUGUGAAA